rnacentral:rRNA from 1 species
GACGAACGCUGGCGGCGUGCCUAAUACAUGCAAGUCGAGCGCAGGAAACUGACGGAACUCUUCGGAGGGAAGGCAGUGGAAUGAGCGGCGGACGGGUGAGUAACACGUAAGGAACCUACCUCAAGGAUUGGGAUAACUCCGAGAAAUCGGAGCUAAUACCGGAUAGUUCAACGGACCGCAUGGUCCGCUGAUGAAAGGCGCUUCGGCGUCACCUUGAGAUGGCCUUGCGGUGCAUUAGCUAGUUGGUGGGGUAACGGCCCACCAAGGCGACGAAGCAUAGCCGACCUGAGAGGGUGAUCGGCCACACUGGGACUGAGACACGGCCCAGACUCCUACGGGAGGCAGCAGUAGGGAAUCUUCCACAAUGGACGAAAGUCUGAUGGAGCAACGCCGCGUGAGUGAUGAAGGUUUUCGGAUCGUAAAACUCUGUUGUAAGGGAAGAACACGUACGAGAGGGAAUGCUCGUACCUUGACGGUACCUUACGAGAAAGCCACGGCUAACUACGUGCCAGCAGCCGCCGCCG